UACUCUGAUGUCACUAAUCAUCAAUAAUCUCUUCCCCCAUUCAGUGAACGUGUGUGACGAGGAGCGUUUGAUUUGUCAGAACGGAGGAACUUGCGUCGACUUCCAGCGCUGCAUUUGUCCAGACAACUUCACAGGUUCGUUGUGUGAGCAGAGCGUCUGUCUAAAGAAGAACGGUUGCUUCGACAACGCUGAGGGCUCCGCCUCCUCUCUGACCUCACACCUUUACCUGCUGACCCUCAGUCUGAUCUCUGCCACCCUCUGCUGACCACGCCUACCAACCUGGGCCACGCCCACCACUGAUGAUAUCGCUGAGAUUUUGUUUAUUGUUUAUUUUUAUACCGUUGGAUAAGGAUAUGACAUCAUAUUCUAUACAUCUGUGAGGAUGUUUCCUGUGAUGCAUUCGAUCGCUGCAGCAAGACGCCAGUUACUUCCUGUCACGUGGCUGAUCGUGUGUUCCCUGCUCAGGUAUCAGUUAUUGAUCACUGCAGGCUCUCAGUACUAUGUACAGUACAGUAUGUAGUACUGUAUGUAGUACUAUAUACAGUACUACAUCAUUUCUACGGGCCACUGUGAUUGACUGCAAGAUCGAUGACUUCAGGUCUGUUUUAUUGUUGUUGUUGUUUUCAUUUUUGUAUUAAUUAUUUACCUGCUGGGUCUGAUGUAAACAUUUCUCAGGAUUGAAAAAACACUUCCUGUUUAAGAGUUGCCUAGCAAUGCAAACAUGUCACAAUAUUUAAACCUGAUAUUGUUGGUGUGUGUCUGCGGAGUUCUAAAUAAUAAUAAUAACAAUAACAAUAAUAGUAAUAAUAUCCUGUAUAUGUGGUAAAUAAUAACAGUGUUUACUGUUGGUUGUUUGUGAUGUGCUUGAAGACUUCCUGGUUUCACCUUUACUGGAUGUAAAAACAUUGUGAGUCUCUUGCUCUCUGAUUGGCUGAUCUGACUGUCAAUCAUCAGCCUCAGGACAACGCCAGAGAACUCAUCACACUGCUGCAUUCUGAUUGGUCAGCGCUCACGCGAAAGUCACUGAUCCUAGUGACAGACAGUUCCCAUGGAGACAGACUGUCAUGUUGUGUUGAACUUUGCAUUUUUUAUUGUUUGUUUGUUUGAAAGUGAAAAUGUUAAAGGUCAGUGAACUUCAAGAUGGAAAUAAAACUCACCAAUACGUCUGUAGCACAUCUCGCUACCACCAAGGUUUCUCUCAGCACACAACACAACAACAGAGGUCAAUAAACAAUUGUCAGCCACACACACUAUUAAUACACAACUUAGGUCUGCUCCGGUUGUGUCUUCUGUUGUGUGUCGUCCUCCAGGUCCAGUUCACACCUGCCUUCAGAGAGGUGAGUGUGAUUACUCAAUGAGGACCAGCUGAGGUCAUCAACUCACCUGGAGCUGCUCUCACAAUCCUUCCCCACACCUUUCUCUCUUUCCUGCAGCUGGACUCUCUCGCUCUCUCUCUCAAUAAAUCCUUAAUUCAUCAACGUAGAUGAUAAAAACAGCAGUUUCAGUCGGAGCAGACCAGCUAUGGAAACAAACCACAGAGAGGCUGCGAUACAACCCAGGCAGAGGGAGAGAGACACCAUGUGACUCUUUGUAUAAACAAUAUAAUGUUUAAUAUCUCAUACUCCCAGAAGAUAAUAAGACGAUGUACAAGAGGCAUCAUUGCGGAAAAAAAUUCUCAGCUUUUAUUUAUAUUUGAACAAAAAGUGGCAUGUCCAAAAUUAUACCUUACCUUCUCAGUAAUGAAUAGAAAAGCCUUUAUUGGCUAUUACAGCAAUCAAACGCUUCCUAUAAUUGCUGACCAGCUUCAGUCUCCACUGGUAUUUUUGCCCAUUCAUCUUUACCGAUGAGCUCCAACUCUUUCAGGUUGGAGGGUCCCUGAUCUUUUAGCUCCCUCCACAGAUUCUCAAUUGGAUUCAAGUCAGGACUCUGGCUGGCCACUGCAAAACGUUAAUGUGUUUGUCCGCAAACUAUUUCUUCACCACUGUUGCUGUGUGUUUUGGGUCGUUGUCGUGCUGAAAUGUCCACUGGUGCCCAAAGCCAAGUUUCUCUGCAGACUGCCUGAUGUUGUUGUUGACAAUCUUGAUGUAUUGCUCUUUUUUCAUGGUGCCGUUUACUGUGAUUAGGUUCCCUGGUCCACUGGCUGAAAAACACCCCCAAAGCAUUAGGUUCCCACCACCAUGUUUGACAGUGGGGAUGUUGUUCUUAGGGUUGAAGGCUUCUCCUUUUUUACGUCAAAUGAAUCAUUGUGGCCAAACAAUUCAAUUUUUGUUUCAUCUGACCAUAAAACAGAAGACCAGAAGUCUUCUUCUUUGUCCAGAUGAGCAUUUGCAAAGGCCAAGUGGGCUUUUGUGUGCCUUAUCUGGAGAAGUGGCGUCCUUCUUGGUCUGCGUCUGUGGAACCCAGCACUGUGCAGUGUCCGUUGGACUGUCUGCCUUGAGAUGUUGCCACCAGCAGAGCCCAGAUUCACCAGGAUGGCCUUGGUGGUGAUCCUUGGAUUCUUUUUCACCUCUCUCACUAUCCUCCUGGCCAGCACAGGUGUCACUUUUGGCUUCCAACCACAUCCUCUGAGAUUUCCCACAGUGCAGAAUGUCUUGUAUUUUUUAAUAAUUCUUUGCACUGUAGCCACUGGAACUUGAACACAUUUAGAUAUGGCCUUAUAGCCCUUUCCUGACUUGUGAGCAGCCACAAUGCGCAGCCGCAGGUCCUCAGUGAGCUCCUUUGUCUUAGCCAUGACUGUCCACAAACCAACUGCAGACAGCUGCUGUUUUUCACCUGUUGAGUUGAAUAAAACAGCUGUUCCCAAUGAAUCAGUGUCAUUAGGAAGCUUUAGAACAGCUUGGACUAUUUGGAAUGGUAGAGAACUUUGGAUUUUCCCACUGUGACAGUUUUCAAAGGGUAUGAAUAAUUUUGGACAUGCCACUUUUUGUUCAACUGUAAAUAAAAGCUGAGAAAUAUUGUUUUCCACAA